rnacentral:lncRNA from 1 species
CAGAAUGGGUAUUAUUAUCUCUAAUUUAUAGCCAAGGAAACUGAGGCUCUUUGCAGUUAAAUUAUUUGCCCAAGGUCAAACAGUUAGUAAGUGGCAGAGCCAGAUCCGAUUUUCUCCAAAGCUUAAGUUAUGUCCAUCUCAGAAGCGACACUCCGGUUGCUGUGGUCAGGGGCUGUGUCCUGCCUCGUGCUGUGCCUGCUCACAAUUAUGACUCGCCUGUACAUGGAGGUGGGUGAGGCUCCUUCCUGCUUCACCACGCUCUUUCUUCUCCUGCCUCAUGUGCUCCCACAGUACCUUGGACAUGCUCUGCACACGUAACAUGUUUGUCACAUGGAAAUGAACAGCGGGCAGAUUCCCUUAGUGGGUCUACAGGAGGAAGUACAAUGAAAUAAGAGUUGCCUUGGCAAACAGAGAACGCGUGCCAAGGAGACCAAGGUGUUGAGAGAAGCAACUGCCUGGGCCCAAGCAGAGGGGAGGAGGCAAACAAGAUCCUCUGGGGCUUUUUACUUUCUGCCCCAGACGGACCAGACGAAAGAUGCCCUUUGUGGUCUCUUUGGACCAACAAGACUCUGUGAUCAUAGAGGAAUGUGAGCAUGAAUGCCAGGUUCCCACCAAGUGCUGGUCUUCUUCCUGCAAACUUUCUGCACUCCUAACUCCACCGCAGCAUCUGCCUUCUGGAGAACACAGCUGUCACACCUGUGUUAAGCUCCAAAGCGCUGGAGGUACCUAGUGCCUGGAUGAAACUAGAGACAUGGAGAUAUUGCACCCAAUAGGACAAGGAUGAAUCCAGCCCACAGGCCACCAGAGAGGAGGAAUACAGCUAAGUGGCUGAGGGCAUGGAUGCUAGCAGCUGGCACCAGCGCUAACCAAGGGCUUAUCAGGACAAGGGAGGCAGCUCCCCUCCAUGCCAGCCAACUGCACUUAGGUGACGAUGCUGAGGAUUUCUGCAGUCUAAGUUACUCUGAAGCUUGGGCAAAUUGUUUUACUGCCUUCAGCCUUAGUUACCCCAUAUAUAAAAUGGGAUAAGUGACACGUGUUGUUAAAGUUCACCUUUCAUCGGACCCCAAAAUGAUUCUAGAGAUAGAGAGCAGAUUAGGGGUCGCUUAGGGCUGAGGAAGAUGGGGCUAUAGGAGGCUGAUAGCUAAAGGGCACAGGGUUUCUUUCUGAUGUGAUGAAAAAGCUCUAAAAUUGACUGCGGUGAUGAUUGCAUAACUCUGUGAAUAUACUCAAAAAUCACUGAAUUGUACACUCUGAAUGAGCGAGUUGUAUAACACGUGAAUUGUAUUUCAACCAAGCUGCUAUUUUAAAACACUUAGCUCAAUGAAUCAUUGCAAGAUGAAUAACCCAUGUAACCAUCACCCAAGUCAGGAAAUGGAAUAUUCUAGAAUCCCAAAGUCCACCUACCGCCUGCGAGGACAUGUAUUUUUUGUUUGUUUGUUUAGUCUCCUGUCCCCAGAAAUCUUAUGGCACAUCUCUGAAAUAGGUCAUUUGGUGUGACUGGUAUUAACUUCCACUGGGUCUGCAAGGAAACAUGGUGGCCUCCCUGGUGAUCCUUCUCAUGAAACACAGAGUUCAUUCCUAGCGUCCUAUUUUAAAAGGGAUACUGGCAAAUCUGAGCCCAUCCCAAAGGUGUGUGAACAGAUGAGGAGAUCUAGUGUUCACAUGAACAAAAGCUGAGGAUCCAGGUCCACAUAGCCUGGAGAAAAGAUUUCUG